rnacentral:rRNA from 1 species
UACGUAGGGUGCGAGCGUUGUCCGGAAUUAUUGGGCGUAAAGGGCUCGUAGGCGGUCUGUUGCGUCGGGAGUGAAAACUCAGGGCUUAACCCUGAGCCUGCUUCCGAUACGGGCAGACUAGAGGUAUGCAGGGGAGAACGGAAUUCCUGGUGUAGCGGUGAAAUGCGCAGAUAUCAGGAGGAACACCGGUGGCGAAGGCGGUUCUCUGGGCAUGACCUGACGCUGAGGCGCGAAAGCGUGGGGAGCGAACAGG